UGCCCCAAUGGUUAAAAGUGCUUGCGGUCGGGCUGGGGAUUUAGCUCAGUGGUAGAGCGCUUACCUACGAAGCGCAAGGCCCUAGGUUCGGUCCCCAGCUCCGAAAAAAAAAGAACCAAAAAAAAAAAAAAAGUGCUUGCGGUCAAGCCUGGUUGAUAGGGUCCCCUUUUUUAAAAAAAAAGACUACACCUUCCAGUUUCCCUUGCGGCCGGAAGGGCGGGACUAUGGGAGGAAAUGUAAUGCAAUAAAUUUUACCUUCUUAUGAAGGUCGUUGUUUCUCCUCGCCCGCGCCCUUUUAGGCACUCUCUCCUCCACCUGUGUGCUAUUUCAUAUAUGGCUCAAUUCUCCGUAGGAGUAAAGAUACUCUAGAAAGACGUGUGCCUCUCCCUUUGGCUAUCAGACCAUCGAAACAAUGGACCCCAAGAAGUUGGAAUUUCCCCAGGAAUCUCAUGCUGGGAAAAGGAAAAGGCUGGAAGCCUGGUGCCUGGCAGAGUGGGAGAACGGAGCUGAGACACUAGUGACGGUUGGGGCAGCAUUUUGACCAGCCUGCUUAGUUACACAUAGCCUCAUGUCAAGACCGAAGGUGGAUUCCGUUCCUCUUCACAAUGUUGACAUAUCGAAUAAACAUCCUCUUUCUGGUUUUGGUAUUACUCGUUUCUGUAAUUAGCCAGUUGAGACUGGUUUGCUAGGGCUUACUUGGGCUUUGAGCCCAACAACUCCUCCAAUAACGGUUGCCUUUCAGGUUGUCAGGAUGUUGUGGCAAGCACGCUGCCCGCGGAGCAGGCUCAUCAACCCCUACUUCCGGGCCUUUGCCUGUGUCUUUGAGGCAAUCAGCUGAUGAGGGACCCGAUAUUCCCAACCUGCUACGCAAUGAUUCAUCACUGUAGAGGAACAAUGCAGAACACGAGGUUGCUUCAGUGUCCACAGCAGCUAUUACUUGUUUCGUGCUCUGGCGGGAGCGUGAUUUUGCCAGCUGAAGAUAGUUUACGUUUGGAAUUCUGGGAACUCUUGAGAAAAUAUAAAAAUACUAGCACCCCAAGAGGCACUGGUGCCUGCUGCUCCCCUGCUGCUUGCUGCUUUCGAAUUGCUGUUUGAGGAUUGCUGGAUGAUUGCUGGAUUGCUGCUUGCUGAUUGGAGAUACCUGACAACGAAGAUUGGACCAGCCCCAAGGAACUGGACGCCCCUUAUAAGCAGGAACUGUUCUGACAAGAUUAAUGCCCCCUUCCCCUCUAACCUCCUUUCUCUCCUACCUAGUGUUGGGGGAUUAGAAGGGAUGGGGGUGGAGGUGACUGGGAGGUAGAAGAAAAAGAAUCCAAUGAAAAGGCCAAAAGUCCAGUGACAGAUAAGAACUUCAAGUCAUCCCUACUUCCUAUUUAAUUCAAAGCCAACCUGGGCUACAUGAGAGGCCCUGUGUCAAAUGAACAACACAAAGUUCUAUUGUUGUUUUAACUAAGCAAUCAGGAUUUCUUUCAUUUUUAUUUUUGUUUUUGUUUUUUGUUUGUUUUGAUUUGUAUAGCCCUGGCUGUCCUGGAACUCCCUUUGUAGACCAGGCUGUCCUCAAGCUCAUAGAGAUCUGCCUGUCUCUGCCUCCUAAGUGCUGGGAUUAAAGGCAUGUGUCACCACU